rnacentral:lncRNA from 1 species
GCUAUGUUAGCAGUGAAGCGGGGGCUUCAGAAUUCUAGGCUCACUUUUUCUCUAGACAAGAAAUUCCCAAGGGACGAUGCCGAUCUGCUUACGUGGGUGUAAAAAUAUGUGUGAGCUAAAGAAGCUACUAUUGAUUGGAAGAAAGCUGAGGGUGAGAAAGCCAACAAAAAGAAACAAGCUUGGGAGGAGCUAAGCAGGGCUCAAGGUGAUCGAAAAGCCCCUCAUUGACCUUGAAGUCCAAGAUCGAAGAGCCUGCCUCAUCAGUUUACUAACUAUACCCCUUUAUCUACUCAAGCUCAGAUCAUCAUAGAGAUA